rnacentral:misc_RNA from 1 species
AACUUUUGACAAUGGAUCUCUUGGCUCUCGCAUCGAUGAAGAACGCAGCGAAAUGCGAUAAGUAAUGUGCAUUGCAGAAUUCAGUGAAUCAUCGAAUCUUUGAACGCACCUUGCGCCCCUUGGUUAUUCCUUGGGGCAUGCCUGUUUGAGUAUCAUGAACACCUCAACUCUCACGGUCUUCCGUGACGAGCUUGGACUUUGGGGGUUUGCUGGCCCUGCGGCCGGCUCCUCUCAAACAAAUCAGCUUGCCAGUGUUUGGCGGCAUCUCACGGGUGUGAUAACUAUCUACGCUCGCGGUUGUCUGCCAGGUAACCCUCAGCAAUGAAGGUUCAUUGGGGCUCAUAAACGUCUCUCCUCGGCGAGGACAGCUUUUGAACGUUCGAUCUCAAAUCAGGUAGGACUACCCGCUGAACUUAAGCAUAUCAAUAAGCGGAGGCU